rnacentral:tmRNA from 1 species
CCUCUUCCAAUCGCGGUCAACCGCGCCUAUAUACGGCGUGUCAGCGCAAGCUGACUAUGGUGAUAAACGGACGGUGUAAUAAACCCAUUGGACCCGGGGGCGGUACCCGGCGCCUCCACCAGAAUACAGAUCGUCUAGUGGUUUGUAUUGUGGCGGGGGCGAAACAGGAUCGACAAGGGUGUAAAGAUCGCUCUUUUACUCGGCAUGAUACCACCGUUAUCGGGUCAAUUGAGUAGUUGCAAAUGACAACAAAGCUCAGGGUUAUGCUCUCGCUGCCUAAUGGCGGCGCGGGAAACCCACUCUAAAGCCCUUAGGGUUAGCCCCUUAAGGCGGGG